rfam:Mesocricetus auratus contig096816, whole genome shotgun sequence.
GGAGAGGUGGCUCAGAGGUUAGGAGCACUGGAUGCUCUUCCAGAGGUCCUGAGUUCAAUUCCCAGCAUCCA